UUUGAAUCAGACAACUGUACUCAACACUAGACAGUGUCUAGAUUAGUUCAGCAAAGAAAUAAGCCUGUACUCUGCAUGGCAUCAACUGAGCUUUUAAAGAUUAUGGAUGAGAAAGGGUUUGAAAAAAAAAGUUUGAAAAAUCAAAACUAAAGCUUUAUAGCCACUUCAGAAAGCCUGGAUGUUUAACCUGUAAGGAAGUCUGUCAAAUCCUUGAGGAAACCACAUAGAGAAAGAUCAAUAGAAUACCUACUGGCUCCAUUAGCUUGAUGUAAAAAGGGGAAGAGGGAAACCAGCUCUUCCACAAGAGGAGAUACAUUAUUCCAGGGAUUAAGCGGGAUCAGUUCUCUUGCAGAAAAGAAGACAAGAAAAAGAAUGAAGAUUCUUGGUGGGCCAGAACUGGAGUGAAAGGGCUUGUCAGGUCUCUGGGUUAGCUUUGAAUACGAGGAAAGGAGAGGGAGGUAUUUCUAGUGCUGCUUCUGGGACCGGCGUCAGCACUUCUGUCACCACCACCGCCAUGAAACUGUUUACAAACAUGACCCAAAUUUCAGAAUAA
rnacentral:lncRNA from 1 species